UACGUAGGGAGCAAGCGUUGUCCGGAAUCAUUGGGCGUAAAGCGCACGUAGGCGGACCGCUAAGUCGGAUGUGAAAGCCCUCGGCUUAACCGAGGAAGUGCAUUCGAAACUGACGGUCUUGAGUAUGGAAGAGGGUCGCGGAAUUCCCGGUGUAGAGGUGAAAUGCGUAGAGAUGGGGGAGAACACUCGUGGCGAAGGCGGCUCACUGGACCGGAACUGACGCUGAGGCGCGAAAGCGUGGGGAGCAAACAGG
rnacentral:rRNA from 1 species